UACGUAGGGGGCAAGCGUUGUCCGGAAUUAUUGGGCGUAAGGAGCUCGUAGGCGGUCUGUCGCGUCUGCUGUGAAAACUCAGGGCUUAACCCUGAGCUUGCAGUGGGUACGGGCAGACUAGAGUGCGGUAGGGGAGACUGGAAUUCCUGGUGUAGCGGUGAAAUGCGCAGAUAUCAGGAGGAACACCGGUGGCGAAGGCGGGUCUCUGGGCCGUAACUGACGCUGAGGAGCGAAAGCAUGGGGAGCGAACAGG
rnacentral:rRNA from 1 species